AGCGAACGCUGGCGGCAGGCCUAACACAUGCAAGUCGAACGAACUCUUCGGAGUUAGUGGCGGACGGGUGCGUAACACGUGGGAACGUGCCUUUUGGUUCGGAAUAACUCAGGGAAACUUGUGCUAAUACCGAAUGUGCCCUUCGGGGGAAAGAUUUAUCGCCAUUAGAGCGGCCCGCGUCUGAUUAGCUAGUUGGUGAGGUAACGGCUCACCAAGGCGACGAUCAGUAGCUGGUCUGAGAGGAUGACCAGCCACACUGGGACUGAGACACGGCCCAGACUCCUACGGGAAGCAGCAGUGGGGAAUCUUGCGCAAUGGGCGAAAGCCUGACGCAGCCAUGCCGCGUGAAUGAUGAAGGUCUUAGGAUUGUAAAAUUCUUUCACCGGGGACGAUAAUGACGGUACCCGGAGAAGAAGCCCCGGCUAACUUCGUG
rnacentral:rRNA from 1 species